GAUGAACGCUGGCGGCGUGCUUAACACAUGCAAGUCGAACGAACCUUCGGGUUAGUGGCGGACGGGUGAGUAACGCGUGAGAAUCUGCCCUCAGGAGGGGGAUAACGGUUGGAAACGACCGCUAAUACCCCAUAUGCCGAUAGGUGAAAUGAAUUUCGCCUGAGGAUGAGCUCGCGUCUGAUUAGCUUGUUGGUGAGGUAAUGGCUCACCAAGGCUUCGAUCAGUAGCUGGUCUGAGAGGAUGAUCAGCCACACUGGGACUGAGACACGGCCCAGACUCCUACGGGAGGCAGCAGUGGGGAAUUUUCCGCAAUGGGCGAAAGCCUGACGGAGCAACGCCGCGUGAGGGACGAAGGCCUCUGGGCUGUAAACCUCUUUUCUCAAGGAAGAAGAUAUGACGGUACUUGAGGAAUAAGCCACGGCUAAUUCCGUGCCAGCAGCCGCGGUAAUACGGGAGUGGCAAGCGUUAUCCGGAAUUAUUGGGCGUAAAGCGUCCGCAGGCGGCCUUUCAAGUCUGCUGUUAAAGCGUGGAGCUUAACUCCAUUAUGGCAGUGGAAACUGAUCGGCUUGAGUAUGGUAGGGGCAGAGGGAAUUCCCGGUGUAGCGGUGAAAUGCGCAGAUAUCGGGAAGAACACCAGUGGCGAAGGCGCUCUGCUGGGCCAUUACUGACGCUCAUGGACGAAAGCCAGGGGAGCGAAAGGGAUUAGAUACCCCUGUAGUCCUGGCCGUAAACGAUGAACACUAGGUGUCGGGGGAAUCGACCCCUUCGGUGUCGUAGCUAACGCGUUAAGUGUUCCNNCCUGGGGAGUACGCACGCAAGUGUGAAACUCAAAGGAAUUGACGGGGGCCCGCACAAGCGGUGGAGUAUGUGGUUUAAUUCGAUGCAACGCGAAGAACCUUACCAGGGUUUGACAUCCUGAGAACCUCUUAGAAAUUUGAGGGUGCCUUCGGGAAUUCAGUGACAGGUGGUGCAUGGCUGUCGUCAGCUCGUGUCGUGAGGUGUUGGGUAAAGUCCCGCAACGAGCGCAACCCACGUUUUUAGUUGCCAGCAUUUAGUUGGGCACUCUAGAAAGACCGCCGGUGAUAAACCGGAGGAAGGUGUGGAUGACGUCAAGUCAUCAUGCCCCUUACACCCUGGGCUACACACGUACUACAAUGCUACGGACAAAGGGCAGCAAACUCGCGAGAGCUAGCAAAUCCCAUAAACCGUGGCUCAGUUCAGAUCGUAGGCUGCAACUCGCCUACGUGAAGUAGGAAUCGCUAGUAAUCGCAGGUCAGCAUACUGCGGUGAAUACGUUCCCGGGCCUUGUACACACC
rnacentral:rRNA from 1 species